rnacentral:rRNA from 1 species
UACGAAGGGGGGCGAGCGUUUGUUCGGAAUUACUGGGCGUAAAGGGCGCGCAGGCGGCUCAUCAAGUCAGAUGUGAAAGCCCCGGGCUCAACCUGGGAACUGCAUUUGGGACUGAUGAGCUAGAGUUCGGGAGAGGUGGGUGGAAUUCCCAGUGUAGAGGUGAAAUUCGUAGAUAUUGGGAAGAACACCGGUGGCGAAGGCGGCUCACUGGCUCGUAACUGACGCUCAGGCGCGACAGCGUGGGGAUCGAAACAGG